AGAGUUUGAUCAUGGCUCAGAUUGAACGCUGGCGGCAGGCCUAACACAUGCAAGUCGAGCGGUAGCAGUCCUUCGGGAGCUGACGAGCGGCGGACGGGUGAGGAAUGCUUGGGAAUCUGCCCGAUAGAGGGGGAUAACUACGGGAAACUGUAGCUAAUACCGCAUGAUCUCUUAGGAGCAAAGCGGGGGGCCUUCGGGCCUCGCGCUAUCGGAUGAGCCCAAGUGGGAUUAGCUAGUUGGUAGGGUAAAGGCCUACCAAGGCGACGAUCUCUAACUGGUCUGAGAGGAUGAUCAGUCACACUGGAACUGAGACACGGUCCAGACUCCUACGGGAGGCAGCAGUGGGGAAUAUUGGACAAUGGGGGCAACCCUGAUCCAGCCAUGCCGCGUGGGUGAAGAAGGCCUUCGGGUUGUAAAGCCCUUUUGGCGGGGAGGAAGGGUGUGAGGUGAAUAAUCUCGCACUUUGACGUUACCCGCAGAAUAAGCACCGGCAAACUCCGUGCCAGCAGCCGCGGUAAUACGGAGGGUGCAAGCGUUAAUCGGAAUUACUGGGCGUAAAGCGCAUGCAGGCGGUCUGUUAAGUCAGAUGUGAAAUCCCCGGGCUUAACCUGGGAACUGCAUUUGAAACUGGCAGACUGGAGUCCUGGAGAGGGGGGUAGAAUUUCCGGUGUAGCGGUGAAAUGCGUAGAUAUCGGAAGGAAUACCAGUGGCGAAGGCGGCCCCCUGGCCAGAGACUGACGCUCAGAUGCGAAAGCGUGGGGAGCAAACAGGAUUAGAUACCCUGGUAGUCCACGCUGUAAACGAUGUCAACUAGCUGCUUGUGUCUUCGUGGCGUGGGUAGCGCAGCUAACGCACUAAGUUGACCGCCUGGGGAGUACGGCCGCAAGGUUAAAACUCAAAUGAAUUGACGG
rnacentral:rRNA from 1 species